rnacentral:rRNA from 1 species
GUAGGUGGCAAGCGUUGUCCGGAAUUAUUGGGCGUAAAGCGCGCGCAGGCGGUUCUUUAAGUCUGAUGUGAAAGCCCACGGCUCAACCGUGGAGGGUCAUUGGAAACUGGAGAACUUGAGUACAGAAGAGGAAAGCGGAAUUCCACGUGUAGCGGUGAAAUGCGUAGAGAUGUGGAGGAACACCAGUGGCGAAGGCGGCUUUCUGGUCUGUAACUGACGCUGAGGCGCGAAAGCGUGGGGAGCAAACAGGGAUUAGAUACCCUGGUAGUCCACGCCGUAAACGAUGAGAGCUAAGUGUUAGGGGGGGUUCCGCCCCCUUAGUGCUGCAGCUAACGCAUUAAGCACUCCGCCUGGGGAGUACGGCCGCAAGGCUG